rnacentral:rRNA from 1 species
GACGAACGCUGGCGGCGUGCUUAACACAUGCAAGUCGAGCGGAGCGGCGAACGGGUGAGUAACGCGUGAGUAACUGCCCCCCUCUCUGGGAUAACAGUUGGAAACGGCUGCUAAUACCGGAUAGUGGGGGAUGACUCGCGUCCUAUCAGCUUGUUGGUGGGGUAGUGGCCUACCAAGGCGACGACGGGUGGCCGACCUGAUAGGGCGACCGGCCACAUUGGGGUGAGAUACGGCCCAAACACCUACGGGAGGAAGCAGAGGGGAAUAUAGCGAAAUGGGGGAAACCCUGACGAAGCAACGCCGCGUGGAGGAUGACACUUUUCGGAGCGUAAACUCCUUUUAUCUGGAAAGCGUUACCUGAUUAAUAAGCACCGGCUAACUCCGUGCCAGCAGCCGCGGUAAUUC